rnacentral:rRNA from 1 species
UACGUAGGGUGCGAGCGUUAAUCGGAAUUACUGGGCGUAAAGCGUGCGCAGGCGGCUUGCCAAGUCAGAUGUGAAAGCCCCGGGCUCAACCCAGGAACUGCGUUUGAAACUGGCAGGCUAGAGUUUGGCAGAGGGGGGUGGAAUUCCACGUGUAGCAGUGAAAUGCGUAGAGAUGUGGAGGAACACCGAUGGCGAAGGCAGCCCCCUGGGCCAAAACUGACGCUCAGGCACGAAAGCGUGGGGAGCAAACAGG